rnacentral:rRNA from 1 species
UACGUAGGGUGCAAGCGUUGUCCGGGAUUAUUGGGCGUAAAGAGCUCGUAGGCGGUUUGUUGCGUCGGCUGUGAAAUCCCGAGGCUCAACCUCGGGUCUGCAGUCGAUACGAGCAAACUAGAGUGUUGCAGGGGAGACUGGAAUUCCUGGUGUAGCGGUGAAAUGCGCAGAUAUCAGGAGGAACACCGGUGGCGAAGGCGGGUCUCUGGGCAACAACUGACGCUGAGGAGCGAAAGCGUGGGGAGCGAACAGG